rnacentral:rRNA from 1 species
UACGGAGGGUGCAAGCGUUAUCCGGAUUCACUGGGUUUAAAGGGAGCGUAGGUGGGUUGAUAAGUCAGUGGUGAGAUCUUCGAGCUUAACUCGGAAACUGCCAUUGAUACUAUCAGUCUUGAAUAUUGUGGAGGCUAGCGGAAUAUGUCAUGUAGCGGUGAAAUGCUUAGAUAUGACAUAGAACACCAAUUGCGAAGGCAGCUGGCUACACAUAUAUUGACACUGAGGCUCGAAAGCGUGGGGAUCAAACAGG